rnacentral:rRNA from 1 species
UACAGAGGGUGCGAACGUUGCUCGGAAUUACUGGGCGUAAAGCGCGUGUAGGCGGGUCUGCAAGUCAGAUGUGAAAUCCCCGGGCUCAACCCGGGAACUGCACCUGAAACUGCAGAUCUAGAGUAUCGGAGAGGGCGGCGGAAUUCCUGGUGUAGAGGUGAAAUUCGUAGAUAUCAGGAGGAACACCGGUGGCGAAGGCGGCCGCCUGGACGAUUACUGACGCUGAGACGCGAAAGCGUGGGGAGCAAACAGG